AUAACGAAUCUCGGGCAACAGGAUAUCUACGGUCU
rnacentral:rRNA from 1 species